rnacentral:rRNA from 1 species
GACGAACGCUGGCGGCGUGCUUAACACAUGCAAGUCGAACGGAAAGGCCCUGCUUUUGUGGGGUGCUCGAGUGGCGAACGGGUGAGUAACACGUGAGUAACCUGCCCUUGACUUUGGGAUAACUUCAGGAAACUGGGGCUAAUACCGGAUAGGAGCUCCUGCUGCAUGGUGGGGGUUGGAAAGUUUCGGCGGUUGGGGAUGGACUCGCGGCUUAUCAGCUUGUUGGUGGGGUAGUGGCUUACCAAGGCUUUGACGGGUAGCCGGCCUGAGAGGGUGACCGGCCACAUUGGGACUGCGAUACGGCCCAGACUCCUACGGGAGGCAGCAGUGGGGAAUAUUGCACAAUGGGCGGAAGCCUGAUGCAGCAACGCCGCGUGCGGGAUGACGGCCUUCGGGUUGUAAACCGCUUUCGCCUGAGACGAAGCGUGAGUGACGGUAAUGGGUAAAGAAGCACCGGCUAACUACGUG